rnacentral:lncRNA from 10 species
AAAAAAUAAUAGUAUUAUUUGUUCUCUCUGCUUGUUAGAGGGCAGGGGAACCUGUAUCUUUUGUUUCAUGGGGGUCACACACUUCUCCAGGAUUAGCUCCAGACUAGAAAAUUAUUGCCAGGCCAAUAAAACAUCCUAUCUUUGGGGGUCCAAUAUUUGGUUGAUUUUGUUUGUUCACCUUUCAAUCACCAGAAUCCCCUUCUUAUCAAUAAUUCCACCACCGCUCAAGAAUUCACAAAAUUAAAACAAAAAUGAUCUCUCUCAUUUACCAUAUUAGCACUACAUAUUUCACAAACAUGAUUUCAUCUUCACUAUCAGGGAGGUAUUACCAAACCCUUUAAUAGAGGAGGGAGCUGAGAAUCAGAGAUGAUCACCAACGUGCCCAAAUUCACACAGCAUAGAAAGUGUGGAGAGAGAGUCAAAUGCAGACCAGCUGUACUCCAGAAUCUACACCCCAGAAUCUACACUCCUAGCCAUCUUGCUCAAUUUUCUCCAAAAAAUGCUGUGAUCCUUUUAGGAGCUUGUGUAUUGAUUAAGAUAAAACAUUUCUCUGUAGUGCAAUAUUUAAGUACGAUGAAGCAAUCCAAAUGCAAAUAAUACAUGCUGUAGUUUUGAAUAAAGACACAAAAUAAGCUACCCCAUAUAACCAAAAUCUCUAAUGACUAGGAUUUGGCUUAUUACAGGACUGCCGAAGCUGAGAGUAACUACCCCUGGUUUCAUUUCCAACUCAUGAAUUUUUCGCCAUCCUUCUCUGCCCGCCUUUCCUUUACUACACAGUGAGCCGCACUCCUGGAACAAGCUUCCCUUGAAGUUCACCCUCUGAGCGCCACGGCCCCUCUCCAGCCUGCAUUCCACUGUAAGGUUGAGAAAUAUCUGAUUGUUAGUGAUGAGAGAGAAAACCUAGCCUCAUUCUCUGGUGGCCUGUCUUGCAAAAGAGAGAUGAAAUCAAACCUGGCUUCCUGAGAUUCCAAAUCACAAACAUCACAUACUAGUUUUUUUUUUUAAUAAAAUCAUGGGGCCAGAUGUGGUAGCUCACACCUGUAAUACCAGCACUUUGGGAGGCUGAGGCAGAACAAUCACUUGAGGCCAGGAGUUCAAGACCAGCCUGGAAAACAAAGGGAAACGCACUUCUACAAAAAAUUUAAAAAUUAGUCACAUGUGGUAGCAUGAACUUGUAGUUCCAGCUACUUGGGAGGCUGGGGCAGGAGGAUCGCUUGAGCCCAGGAGCUGGAGGCUACAAUGAGCCAGGAUUGCACUACUGCACUCCAGCCUGGGUGACAGAGGGAGACCUUGUCUAAAUAAAUAUCAUAGAAAGGUGGGGAACUCACUCAGAGUGUCCCACAUUGUCUUUUUCUUUCUUUUUUUCAAAAUUAAGAGACAGGGACAGCAAGG